rnacentral:tRNA from 1 species
GCAUCGGUGGCUCAGUGGUAGAAUGCUCGCCUGCCACGCGGGCCGGGUUCGAUUCCCGGCCGAUGCA